GCAACCCUGUUGGGAGAAUCCGGUCUACAGACGGCCGGUGCCGAAGGAGCAACCGCCCCGGAAACUCUCAGGCCAAAGGACCAGCAAGGGCAG
rfam:Rhizobium gallicum bv. gallicum R602, complete genome.